ACCUACUGUGAUGACGACGGUGCCCCAUAACCGGGGCUCAAAAGGGAAUGCGGCGCCGGACGCGUCUCGCGAGGGACAUGAUCGAAGGGCGCAGCUGUCCCCGCUCGUGCAGGCGGCAAAUGACGCGUCAUAGGCCACUCGGAAAUCCUGGUCCCGGAACGACGUCAUGGCGGCUAUGACACGCGAGCCAGGGCACCCGCCGUCAGCGGUGGUCACACG
rnacentral:ncRNA from 19 species